CAAGAUGGCGGAGCAGAAGGACGCUCGGAGCUCACCCUCUCCCACAGAUACACCAAGAGCAACAUCCACGGACACACCCGUUGACUCAGAAUGCCUGCCAAACUUUGACAGAACAUCACCUUCUUCAAAAGACAAAAUUCGUCACAAAUCUGGCUUUAAGGAGACAGCUAGAACAGGAAAGGCUGCAGUGAGUGCCUGAAGGCAAGAGAGGACCAGAAUGUGUCUCUGGGCUGCUGGACAAGGUGUCACUGAGAAGACGGCCGCUGAGCACAGACCUGAAGGAGUUCUCUGUCAUAGGAUUGGAAGGGACCUCUAGACAUUAGAUCAUCACUUCUGAUUGAAGCAGGACAGAUUUUCACUGUGCCAGACUGGAAGGCAUCUAUCAACAGUGUCCCGGAAAGGAGAUUUACAGGUCUCCCUUGGAAACCUGUUCCAGUGCCAGUGUUCCUAAUCCCAUAAUUCAAAGCUGGCCUCCAAGAUCCCCUGCCUGUUUGGUGUGCACACCUCCGUCAUCCCUGGGACUACGUGUAUGAUGAAUGCACUACUCCUGCUCAGGUCAUGUUAUGUGCCAGGCAACCUGAAGACAGAGAGAGCAUCCAGUUACAUUAUAAACCCACAGAGGACCGAUGUCUCACUGUUUUAUGGCUCCAACAGUGAUACGGAGCAACACCAGUGUGGCUGGCUGACUAAUGGCUCCAAGAUACGCCGAGCUCAAACUCCAGGAUCAGUGUUACCUGAUACAGCAAAAAGGACUUGCAGAUGUUACUAAGGAUCUUGAGACGGGGAGAUGAGCCUGGACUACCUGGGCAGACCCUGCGUGUAGUCAUAGGGUCUCAAAAAGGUAGGUAGAGAUGUGAUUACCAUAGAGAAUAAGGAAAUGUGAUCACAGAAGCAGAGAACAGAGUGAUGAGCUCAGGAGCCCAGGAGGGCUGGAGCAGCCACGAGGGGGGGAGGCAAGGAACACACUCUCCCGGAGCCUCCAGAAGGAACCCGUCUUGCUGACUCCUUCAUUUUAUCCCACUUGUCUCAUUUUGAACUUCUAACUUCCAGAAACACAGAGAUAUGAAUCUGUGCUGUUUUGAGCCUCUAAAUUUGUGUUGCAAUGUCAACAGCGAACUACUAUAUAUAUACUCAGAUAUAAUUAAGUAUAUAGUAGUAUCUAAUAACCAUUUAAUUACCUUUUGGACUUCAAGCCAGGGUAGGGACUUUGGGCAAGAUCUCGUCUACCAUUCUGCAAACACCAGUAGAUUCUUUCUCAUCACCUGCUGAACUUGAAAUAAAAGUAGUAUACUCUACUUAGUUAAAAUGCAAUAUAAUUUAUGUUAGAACGGAAAUUUUUUCUUGAAUCAUUUCCCCAUUUCUGUAUUGACUGAUGGUAUUUAGACAGACAAUAGACUCAGUUUACAAUGUGUUUAUUACUAAAAAACAAUGCUUAAAAUUAUAUACAUGGAAAAGGGGAGGCAAUAGACUAUAUUUUGCUAGUCUUGCAGUUUAUUCUUCAAUCUCUAUUACUUUAUUUUCUUUCCAUUCUUACGGUGUCGCCCAGAUUAGCAUAGGACCUUUCUAUUAUAAAAAAUAAUUUUCUUGGAAUGAUGGUGUUUUAAUUAAUAUUUCAGAAAGCAUAUACUUUGUCUUUUCUAAAAAUGGGAAUGAUUUAUGUAUGAGCAAAUGUUUGAUGAGAACAUAGAAGAUAAAUGAUCCCAUCUGAACAACAGCUUUUUUUGAGACAUGUACAUCCCUGAUGUCACUUUAUUAUCUGGAUGGCCACAUAGAGCCAGAAAACGUACCAUGUGUGGCAGGCCUCACUGCACUGACAACCAAAGGCCUCACUGCAUGAUGUUUAUAAAAACUGAAGGUUUUGAUAUAUUUUAUUCAAACUCUGUUAUGAGAUCAACUGUGUCUGCUCAAAACUCGUAUGUUGAAGCCUUAACCUCCAGGACCUAAGACUGACUGUAUUUGGAGACAGGACCUUUAAAAAGCUAAAGUUAAAAUGAGGACUUUACAAUGGGCCCUAAUAUGAUCUGAAUGGUGUCUUUUUAAGAAGAGGAGAUUAGGACACAUAGAGAGACACCAAGGGGGCACACACACAGAGGGAAGACAGUGCCGAGACAGCAGGUGGGUGGCCAGCCAUGUGCAAAUCAAGGAGAGGGGCAUCAGGAAACCAGUCCUGCUGGCACCCUGAUCGUGGACUUCUAGGCUCCAGCACUGUGAACAAAUAAACUUCUAUUGUUCCAGUCUAUGGUAAUUUGUUAUGGGAACCCUAGCAAACGAAUACAGAAUCAUAAGAUACUUUAUGUGUUAUUCCAGCAAUGAUAAAUUUCACUAAUAUACAUGUCGUCUUUUCUUAAAUCUCUAGGUGUUCACAGUUCAUCUAGUCAGAAUGUCAGCAGAUUUUUUUUUAAUUGAAGU